GUUCGCAACACUGGGACGGCGCGCGCGCUCCGUGUUUCCAAGCAGAGAUUACUCUGUGGAUUACUCAUGUCCGCCGGUUUUUUUGCGCAGUAAUUAUGUGUUUAUUAGUGUUAUAAUACAUUUAAAGGUUUUAUGGUGACAUGUGUAUGGUGCAGCGACUUAUUACAAUAUAUAAUUUGUAAAAGAUGGCGCCACCAAAAUACAUAGUCGUUAAGUUUUUGGAUAAGAAAGAUGGAGAUAACUUCGCAUUCGUGCCCGAGUCGUGGGUGGAAGCAGAUCGGCCCACAGACAACACAAUAGUAAUUUAUUAUCCUACUGAAGAUAAAAUAGCAACAGAAAAUCGCGUUAAAAACAACGAGCAACCGAGGGCCGAUUGGAACCAAUAUUUGUGCGAACUGCUACAUACGACCAAUCACUACGGCGACGCGAAAAUAGACACUAUGAAAAAAAAUUUAGAGGCAAA